UGGCGAAACACUAGGAUCACGACAUUUUCUAGCGAACACUCAAAAAUACAAUGCCUGUUUCCAAAUGACAUUUGGGGAGGAAAUUAUUGGAGACGGAUAUAAUCCGACAUUUAAGAUUCAAGGCCAGAUUUGCCAUCGCAUUGGUUCAUUGCAACUUAUUGAAGAUGCACAGCAC